rnacentral:lncRNA from 1 species
AAUACCUGGAACGUAGUACGGGUCUUUCUUUGGGACAUACAGUUCGGGUGAACAAAUAGUAUGUGCUAACUGUUCUUUAUCCAUAUACAUAUAAAGCUAACUUCAUACAGGAGCAUCUUAGGAAGAAAGAGCAGAAAGUUGCACUCACCUUUUAACUUCACUUUCUGUCAUAUAUAUGAUGUUCUCUCACUUAAUAAUUAAGAUGUUGAUAACAUCGGAUUUGAGCAUCACAGAGUGUGUCUCAUGUGGAGUUGGAUCUGCUUACUCUGCCGGAGUACCUGAGAUCACCCCCUUUUUGGUUGGAUUAUUUUUUUCAGUCUUAAGUUUUCUAUGUUGUGUUUUGUGUACUGUUGUUUGUCUUUUGUCUUUUUUUUUUUUUUGCCAUUUCCCAGUCAGUUUAUUUUUGACGUAUGAAUUUGAAAGCGACAUUCUUUGAAUAGAUAUAUUUCGCCUUUCUUUUAUAAUCCUUGGAAUCAUUAAAAAUUAGUAAAUAUAAAGGGUUGAAAUAUAAAAAAAAAAAAGUUUAAUCCAACCGCAAUGUUGCACCUGUCUAAAGUCAGGAGCCUCUGGACUUUGUUAGUCUUGUUUGACUUUUAAUUUUGUUUCUUUUAUGUAUUUACGAGUUAAGUAUGACCGUCCAUUUUUACUGAACUAGUACACAUAUUUGUGAAGGGGCCAGCUGAAGUACACCUCCGGGGCGGGAUUUCCUCGUGGUAUUGAAGACCCAUUGUUGGCCCUCGGCUGUUUUCCGCUCUUUGGUCGUGUUGUUUACUCUUUGACACAUUCCCCAUUUCCAUUCACAAUUUCAUCUUGAUAAUCCUUGUUUCAAUCCAUCUGAGACCAUGUUUAGCAUGUAGUGUGUCUGCCUUAUUUGUGUUUAUGCCAAUGUUUGUGUUUAGCCAAUGUUUGUCUCAUUAUAUACUACUAUUUUGUCUGUCAGUAUUUAUUUUUACUUUCAUUCAUGCCUGGAUGUGCUUGAUUUUUUCUCAUGUGUGUCUGCCUGUUCUCUCUUGUAUUGCGUGUGUAUCUGUCUGUUCUCGCUUUUAUCGCAUGAGUGUCUGACUACGCACUUUUCUCGCAUGUGCGUCUGACUUAAAGUUUGGUUUUAAUCCAAUGUUGUUAUUUGUACUAAGACCUGUUUAAAGUCACUUUUGUAAGCUACCGUCAUAUUACAAUUUUACUCAUUGCGUCUGAUGCCUGCCGCUAGUUAUUUUU